GGGUCGUUAGCUCAGCUGGUAGAGCAUCGGACUUUUAAUCCGGUGGUCGUGCGUUCGAACCGCACACGACCCACUA
rnacentral:tRNA from 2 species